AAGCUAAUGCAGGCAGACUUGACAAGUCGAGACGGUCGCAACCCCGUGAAAAUGCAGAGCGGCUU
rnacentral:ribozyme from 2 species